AGCGAACGCUGGCGGCAGGCUUAACACAUGCAAGUCGAGCGGGCCCUUCGGGGUCAGCGGCAGACGGGUGAGUAACACGUGGGAACGUACCCUUUGGUUCGGAAUAACGCAGGGAAACUAGCGCUAAUACCGGAUACGCCCUUUUGGGGAAAGGCUUGCUGCCGAAGGAUCGGCUCGCGUCUGAUUAGCCGGUUGGUGGGGUAAUGGCCUACCAAGGCGACGAUCAGUAGCUGGUCUGAGAGGAUGAUCAGCCACACUGGGACUGAGACACGGCCCAGACUCCUACGGGAGGCUGCAGUGGGGUAUAUUGGGCAAUGGGCGCAAGCCUGAUCCAGCCAUGCCGCGUGAGUGAUGAAGGCCUUAGGGUUGUAAAGCUCUUUUGUCCGGGACGAUAAUGACGUUACCGGAAGAAUAAGCCCCGGCUAACUUCGUG
rnacentral:rRNA from 1 species